AGCAAUGACUCCAAGUGAGGCAGGAACUCCAACCUUGCGCAUAUGUAUGAUGACGGACGAUUCCAGACUCAAUAACUGGCUAUUACACGAUCACAACGACUUUUCGAGGAACCUCGAGAUCAAGCUCUAGUUUGGAUCCAGAACUAUCAGAACGCAGCGGUGAAGUACUACAACUAGAAUGUCCAAGAACACCGUUUCAAUAUAGGUGACCUCAUCCUCCGAGAAAUUGAUAUAUCCCUAUUUUUACUGAUUUUAUCUAUGUUUUAGGUUUAGGAUUUUAAGUCUUUAUGUUAUUUCUCGAGUCUUUUUAGUGUAUUUUCAUGUAUUCUAUGCAGUGGGACAGCGAUAGAGAUGAGGAGACAUUUUGGAGCAAAAGCUAAGGAAAAGGAAGCUAAGGACGAUUUUGGAUUCCUGAUUCAGAGAGAGUGUCGAUCGAUGCCCAGCAAAGUCCAUGACGCUUUCAAGUUUACAGAAGUAGAAAUUUGCCCAAGAAGACUUCUUUAUUUGCAUUAUUAGUCUUUGGACGUUUUAUAGGGUUUAUAUA
rnacentral:sRNA from 1 species